AGCAGACUGUAGUUUUUUGAAAGAGUAUAACAGUUUAUUCCUCAUAUUGAUAGUGAAUUUAAAAACUGUGUGAUUAAGAUUUGCAGAUAGAGGAAUUAGAUUUAGCUGUGAAAAACCUCAAGUUAAACAAAUCACCUGAUCCUGAUGGAAUACACUGUUAGACAUUUCUGUAAUUUCUACAGUUAUUUACCAUAUAUCACCCAGUAUUAUAGGCCCUACUGCUAAUUCUCUUUACAGUAAAUAACUGUGAUUCCCUUUGCAUCAUGGGAAUUUUCUGUGACGUUACACACUACAUACAGCGAUUUACUGUAUUUUUUAAAUUUGCAGUAUAUUACUGUAUUUGCUGUAACGGAUCCUCUGGCUCCAUUUUUUUAUUUUCUUCUUUUUGUACAUUUGGUUUGACAUUAUUUGCCUUACACCGCGUGUCUACAACGAUAACAGCCCGUGGCUGUCUUUAUUGGACACAUUGAAGCUACCGGAUCUUUACAAAAUGCAAACCUGUUUGUCCCUUGUGUCAGAAAUAGCGCGAGCGCUUGGACUCGGACUCGGAGUAGGCUACCGUACAUAUAACGGGGCAUCAGUAACGUUAUACUGUCUGGGAUUUGUCGUGUCGCGCCGGAGCAUUCAGUACAAACAACAGUGAUUGUAAUGGGUUCUGUCUUUUGUUGAAUCGCGUCGUUCGCGUCCGGGGUAGAGACGGAACCACCGCGGCAGCGCCACAGUCUGCGGCCGGUGUACCGAUGCACCCCGUGAAGACUUAUCCCCGAGAGAGAGAGAGACCAGCAAACAAGGUCUCAAUUGCAACAAAGCGCCGGUGACUGCUAGCAAGAUUUCUGAGCAAAUGAACCAAUCAGAAGAUGGACCAUUUUCUAUGUUCAGUCUCACCAGAUUACAUUUAUCCAGGUAAGCACUGCAUUAAAACUCUCACUAAAUCAUUCAUACCAAAUUUAGCGUUCUAAACAACUUUAGUUUAUACUUUUGAAUUAUUUUGAUCUUUUAUUAGGCCGAAGACUCUACCAUUGCAGUCCCAACUGACCAGGAAGGUCCUAAUAUCAGUGCACAGCUCCCCCUUCCCUCCAGACAGGCUGAAAUUGGCUAAAUCGUCGAUUACAAUCUUUCUCUCUAUGGAUCUCAGCAUUUUUGGACAGAAUUUAGGAUAUACUAAUGCCUCAACUGCCUGUAACUGAUCUCUACCUGUGAAAUACCUGUACCUCUGCGGCUUAUUUUGAUCAAUACAUCCUCUAAACCUGAUGACCUUCUCCUCUUCCUUAUAUAAAGUUGUGCUCUGACCGGCUUCACUCAUAUAAUUAUAAUUAAAUCAGAUCCUG